UGGGGAAUCUUCCGCAAUGGACGAAAGUCUGACGGAGCAACGCCGCGUGAGUGAAGACGGCCUUCGGGUUGUAAAGCUCUGUGAUCCGGGACGAAAGAGCCUGAGGUGAAUAGCCUAAGGAAGUGACGGUACCGGAAAAGCAAGCCACGGCUAACUACGUGCCAGCAGCCGCGGUAAUACGUAGGUGGCAAGCGUUGUCCGGAAUUAUUGGGCGUAAAGCGCGCGCAGGCGGCUUCCUAAGUCCAUCUUAAAAGUGCGGGGCUUAACCCCGUGAUGGGAUGGCAACUGGGAAGCUGGAGUAUCGGAGAGGAAAGUGGAAUUCCUAGUGUAGCGGUGAAAUGCGUAGAGAUUAGGAAGAACACCGGUGGCGAAGGCGACUUUCUGGACGAAAACUGACGCUGAGGCGCGAAAGCGUGGGGAGCAAACAGG
rnacentral:rRNA from 1 species